rnacentral:lncRNA from 1 species
CUUUGACAAUCGUCAUCAGAUGAUACUCCUAGGAUAUUAUGUUAGACAAUACAUGCAUUUUUUGUUCUAUCAAGUUCAUAUUUAUAUCCAAAAACAGCAUUUUACAUUGGCGCGUGACGUUCAGAAAAUGUAUUUCCCCCAAAACCUACGGUGAAUCAGCACAACAAUUUACAAGAAUACUCAUUAUAAACGUUGAUAAAAUAUUAAACUGUUAUUCAAAGAAUUAUAGAUUAACAUCUCCUGAAUGCAACCGCAUUGACAGAUUUCAAAAUAACUUUACUGGGAAUGCACACUUUGCAAUAAUCUGAGUACUGCGCUACCGGGUUCUGCCUUUCGGGCUUCAUGGGGCACCAGCGACCUUUCAGCGACUCAUGGAUCGAGUCCUGCGGUCGCACAGUGAGUACGCAGCGGCGUAUCUGAAUGACAUAAUUGUGCACAGUGACAAUUGGGAGUCACAUCUGCGUAAGUUACAGGCCGUGAUUGAUGCGCUAAGGGAUGCAGGUCUGACCGCGAACCCCCACAAGUGCAAGCUGGGCUACACCGGAGUGGAGUACCUGGGAUAUCAGAUCGGGUGGGGAAAUGUGAAAUCCCCCCCCAAAAAUCGCUGCCAUUAGGGGAUGGCCGGUCCCCCGAACUAAGAGCUUCUCCCCUCACAGAUCUAUCAAAGGCACGACUACCCCAGACGGUGCAAUGGACGGAGGACACAGAGGAGGCGUUCCAGGCCCUGAAGGAUGUGCUAUGUUCGCACCCGGUACUCGUCACCCCGGACUUCUCAAAGAACCUCCUCGUCCAGACAGACGCGUCUGACACCGGGGUCAGGGGCCCAGCACGGAAAUGCGGACGCCCUAUCCAGGAGGGAUGCAAACCUAGCCCUGAGCAUGCCUCCCUCCCAGUUAGAGCUAAGGGGCUGUGUGUGUGGAAUCCCAGGAGGUCUACCCCGGGGGAUGGUAAUAGAGGGGAGGUACGUGAGACGACGUUGGCUCCCUCUGCUGGGGAUACGGGAGCUGGGCACCCCGACACGGACAUCUAUAAGUGGAGGUAAUUAGAGGAAAGUGCCAACCAGCCGUGGAGGCUAAAUAAAAGGAGCUCGAUGGCACACCGUGAGAGAGAAGGGGGAGAGACGGACACCAGUUAAGAGAGAGAAGAAAGACC